AGCGAACGCUGGCGGCAGGCUUAACACAUGCAAGUCGAGCGGGCGUAGCAAUACGUCAGCGGCAGACGGGUGAGUAACGCGUGGGAACAUACCUUUUGGUUCGGAACAACACAGGGAAACUUGUGCUAAUACCGGAUAAGCCCUUACGGGAAAGAUUUAUCGCCGAAAGAUUGGCCCGCGUCUGAUUAGCUAGUUGGUGAGGUAACGGCUCACCAGGGCGACGAUCAGUAGCUGGUCUGAGAGGAUGAUCAGCCACAUUGGGACUGAGACACGGCCCAAACUCCUACGGGAGGCAGCAGUGGGGAAUAUUGGACAAUGGGCGCAAGCCUGAUCCAGCCAUGCCGCGUGAGUGAUGAAGGCCCUAGGGUUGUAAAGCUCUUUUGUGCGGGAAGAUAAUGACGGUACCGCAAGAAUAA
rnacentral:rRNA from 1 species